CUUACCGCUCCUGUGCCUCCUUCAUCUUUUUCUUCUUCUUUUGUGCUACAGAAACCUUAUCUAUUCUCCAAAUAAAGUUAUGAGCAAGAGCCCAUCGUAGAAGGAUUAAAAGCAGAUUGGUUUACAGAGAAGCCUGUGAGAUGCUGCUGUCCAACCUUGAAGCUACCAGCAGGACAAAUCCAAUUAGGGCAGGUCUUAUGGCCACUCCUCCCUAAGACACCUCCGUCACCAUCAUCUCCCACCUGUUACUUGACUACAUACAACACGCAAGCUAUAGCACAACCAUUCUCUGAAUGAACAGUGCUCCGUUCCAGUUCCUGAUUCUCAUGGCACCUUAUUAUUAUGACCACAAGGUGAAGAGGGAGAACAAUUUAUUAAUAAAUCUACAUUAAACUGUAGUCCUCAUACUGGAACCCACAGGCAGAAAAUAUGAGUUGUAGAAAAGUAAAGAUUCAGUACUAAAGCAUAAGCCAUGCUCUUAGAUACUGGGCACCUCAUACCUUGUCAUUUUAUCAAGGAUGAAGCAGGCCAGUG
rnacentral:lncRNA from 1 species